rnacentral:rRNA from 1 species
AUUGGACGCUGGCGGCAGGCUUAACACAUGCAAGUCGAGCGGGGUGAUGGUGCUUGCACUAUCACUUAGCGGCGGACGGGUGAGUAAUGCUUAGGAAUCUGCCUAUUAGUGGGGGACAACAUCUCGAAAGGGAUGCUAAUACCGCAUACGUCCUACGGGAGAAAGCAGGGGAUCACUUGUGACCUUGCGCUAAUAGAUGAGCCUAAGUCGGAUUAGCUAGUUGGUGGGGUAAAGGCCUACCAAGGCGACGAUCUGUAGCGGGUCUGAGAGGAUGAUCCGCCACACUGGGACUGAGACACGGCCCAGACUCCUACGGGAGGCAGCAGUGGGGAAUAUUGGACAAUGGGGGGAACCCUGAUCCAGCCAUGCCGCGUGUGUGAAGAAGGCCUUAUGGUUGUAAAGCACUUUAAGCGAGGAGGAGGCUCUUUUGGUUAAUACCCAAGAUGAGUGGACGUUACUCGCAGAAUAAGCACCGGCUAACUCUGUGCCAGCCGCCGCCGUAACAC